rnacentral:rRNA from 1 species
CCUACGGGUGGCAGCAGUGAGGAAUAUUGGUCAAUGGCCGGAAGGCUGAACCAGCCAUGCCGCGUGAAGGUCAGUGCCCUAUGGGCGUUAAACUUCUUUUGUGCGGGAGCAAUAAUGGUCAAGUGUGGCCAGACGAGAGUUACGUACGAAUAAGGAUCGGCUAACUCCGUGCCAGUAGCCGCGGUAAUACGGAGGAUCCGAGCGUUUUCCGGAUUUUUUGGGGUUAAAGGGAGCGUAGAUGGGUUGUUAAGUCAGUUGUGAAAGUUUUCGGGUCAACCGUAAACUUGCAAUUGAUACUGGCAGUCUUGAGUACAGUUGAGGUAGGCGGAAUGCGUGGUGUAGCGGUGAAAUGCUUAGAUAUCACGAAGAACUCCGAUUGCGAAGGCAGCUUACUAAACUGCCACUGACAUUGAUGCUCGAAAGUGUGGGUAUCAAACAGGAUUAGAUACCCGUGUAGUC